CAUGACCUGGCUGCGAGGCUGCAUAACAUCUGGGAGAUGAGUAAACUCCUUUACAGAAGAGAAGGCACAGGGAAGACAAAGCCAAGUGAUGUUCCCAAGAUCACAAACCAGAACUGUUUUGCGACUUCAACUGCAGCAGGAACUACUGAGUACUUUGAGCAGUACUUGACAGAGGAGUUAAGUGAAGGAUCUUCUAUCAAAGUCAGAAACUAAAGGCCUAUUUGUAAUCUGAGUUAGACCUGAGCUUCUCAUGAAUCCACUACAGCAACUAUGCUGGCAGAGCAAAGUGCACCAGCUGGACCAUGUUUCAGGGGUGUUGAUUACAGCCAUGUUGG